rnacentral:rRNA from 1 species
CAACUGAAGAGUUUGAUCCUGGCUCAGAGUGAACGCUGGCGGCAGGCCUAACACAUGCAAGUCGAGCGGCAGCGCGGGGGCAACCCUGGCGGCGAGCGGCGGACGGGUGAGGAAUACAUCGGAAUCUGCCUUAUUGUGGGGGAUAACGUAGGGAAACUUACGCUAAUACCGCAUAAGACCGAAAGGUGAAAGUGGGGGACCGCAAGGCCUCACGCGAUAAGAUGAGCCGAUGUCGGAUUAGCUAGUUGGUGAGGUAAUGGCUCACCAAGGCGACGAUCCGUAGCUGGUCUGAGAGGAUGAUCAGCCACACUGGAACUGAGACACGGUCCAGACUCCUACGGGAGGCAGCAGUGGGGAAUAUUGGACAAUGGGCGCAAGCC